rnacentral:rRNA from 1 species
UACGUAGGAUGCGAGCGUUAAUCGGAAUUACUGGGCGUAAAGCGUGCGUAGGCGGUUCGUUAAGUUCGUUGUGAAAGCCCCGGGCUCAACCUGGGAAUGGCAAUGGAAACUGGCGGGCUGGAGUACUGGAGAGGGAAGCGGAAUUCCUGGUGUAGCGGUGAAAUGCGUAGAUACCAGGAGGAACACCGGUGGCGAAGGCGGCUUCCUGGCCAAGUACUGACGCUGAGGUGCGAAAGCGUGGGGAGCAAACAGG